UCUGCCCCUAGAAGGAUAUGGAUGAUUUGUCACAUGUGCAUUGGCAAAUGGCAAAGAGGAGAGAGGUCAUGUCUAACUCAGUGUUCUGACUAAUGAACAUCCGAAUGGUUCAUAGCCUAAUGUU
ensembl:snoRNA LOC120094934 small nucleolar RNA SNORA17